rnacentral:rRNA from 1 species
GACAGAGGGGGCAAGCGUUGCUCGGAAUUACUGGGCGUAAAGGGCGCGUAGGCGGGAUGGCAAGUCGGUCGUGAAAUCCCUCGGCUCAACCGAGGAACGUCGAUCGAUACUGCUGUUCUUGAGGAUUGCAGAGGAGACUGGAAUUCCCGGUGUAGCGGUGAAAUGUGUAGAGAUCGGGAGGAACACCGGUGGCGAAGGCGGCUUCCUGGACUGGUUCUGACGCUGAGGCGCGAAAGCUAGGGGAGCAAACAGG